AGUGAACGCUGGCGGUAGGCCUAACACAUGCAAGUCGAACGGCAGCACAGUAAGAGCUUGCUCUUACGGGUGGCGAGUGGCGGACGGGUGAGGAAUACAUCGGAAUCUACUUUUUCGUGGGGGAUAACGUAGGGAAACUUACGCUAAUACCGCAUACGACCUACGGGUGAAAGCAGGGGAUCUUCGGACCUUGCGCGAUUGAAUGAGCCGAUGUCGGAUUAGCUAGUUGGCGGGGUAAAGGCCCACCAAGGCGACGAUCCGUAGCUGGUCUGAGAGGAUGAUCAGCCACACUGGAACUGAGACACGGUCCAGACUCCUACGGGAGGCAGCAGUGGGGAAUAUUGGACAAUGGGCGCAAGCCUGAUCCAGCCAUACCGCGUGGGUGAAGAAGGCCUUCGGGUUGUAAAGCCCUUUUGUUGGGAAAGAAAAGCAGCAGGUUAAUACCCCGCUGUUCUGACGGUACCCAAAGAAGAAGCACCGGCGAACUUCGU
rnacentral:rRNA from 1 species